CAUAUGCCCUCUCGGCUCUCGCUCUCGUUGCCCCUCUUCUGCUGGGUAGUCGUGCGGGUGCUCCCUCGCUCUCUCCGAGCCGGCGGACGGAGAGUGGUCGAAGAAGAAGCGAGUACACCUUUCGCGAAAAGGGACUCCCAAUUUUGUUUAACCCUCUACAUGUUCGCCUAGGGUUUCCACAGCUAUUUGAUUAUACUUCAAGAUGCCUGCAUGUGGCUUGAGUUGUAGUCCCUCAAGAAUUUCCUCUUGUAUGGUAUCUGCAAGAAAAUCAAGUUCAUUACAUGGAUUAGCUUCACCUUUUACUAAAAGCAGGAGCUGUUGGGAAAGGGUGAAGCAUUUAUCCUGUAUAGACAGGAACUAUUUAACACCUCUGGUCCAUAAACAUUCAGCUACAAGAAAUGACAAAAUCAGGAGUAGAAUAUAUGCAUCAUUUGGUGAUAUGGCUGAUGAUUCAACUGCUAUCUUCCCCAGGAUUGAUGUGAAGGACCCAUACAAACGACUUGGAAUUAGCAGGGAAGCAUCUGAAGAAGAAAUUCAAGCUGCCAGGAACUUUUUGAUAAAUAAAUAUGCUGGACACAAACCUAGUGUUGAUGCAAUAGAAUCAGCUCAUGACAAAAUCAUCAUGCAGAGCUUUCUUGAGAGGAAAAACCCAAAAAUCAACAUCAACAAAAAAAUAAGGGAAGUUACUCAAUCACGUGUUGUCAAGGCCAUUGCAAGUAGGUUUGAAGCUCCAUCGACAAAUGCUAUUUUAAAGACAGCCAGUGCAUUCAUAGUGCUCGGGAUACUCACUGUUCUAUUUCCAACGGAAGAAGGGCCAACACUCCAAGUGGCCAUUUCUCUUAUAGUAACCAUAUAUUUCAUAUACCAGAGGCUUAAGAGUCGACUCCGAGCCUUCUUAUAUGGGCAGAUCCAUGUCUAGUGAUACACUUGCCAUGCUAACCAUAUAGGAGUAUCUGUAGACGCAAUUUAGUAAUCCCCUUGCUGAAGGCUAUUAUGCUCUACUUCAUUCAGUCAGGAAGCUUUCUCCAUGUCACAUUGCAAUCAAUCAGGAUUGGGGCUUUCUUUGGUUCAUGGCUGUUGGGCACCUUCUUGAUGGUUUCUGUCGUUCCACCUCUACUUCAAGGUCCGCGGAGUUUGGAGGUCAGCACUUCUCUGAUAAGCUACAUACUUCUAUGGGUGUCUUCCACCUAUGUGAAGUAGAAAUUCUUCUGCCAUUCGAAUCUUUGUUCUUGAAGUCAGUGAGGCAAAUUAUCAUGACUUGACUGCUACCGUGAGUUUCCCUGAAAUGUGGUACUUUUCAUGCUUUCUUAAUAUUUGAUAGACGCUUUUGGAAAAGUAUAUUCGUUGUUCAUAGUGUAUGACUUGCUACCUGUGAAUUGAUGGGAAAGGCAGCCAUUUUGUAUUGUAGGCUUUGAUUUCUGUCCAUGCAUGGAUUGCUGUGGCCUCCAGGCAGAUUGUUUGUCAUUUUGCUA